UCUCUCUCUCUUCUCCUCUGCCUCUCUCUCUCUCUGUCUGUCUCUCCCUCAGCUUCACUAGCUCUUGUGCUGUAAGUUCAUUUGCUGUGUCAAGCAACAACUGGCUCGGGAGUGGGCAUUGGGUUUGAUCCUUUUGUCAAGCGUCCCCUCUGCGAUGUGUACCGCAUCCACCUGCACACCACGGGACUGGCCGCCUGGCUCUCUCUAACGUCGCCGUAGCGUCCUGGGUUUAUCACGACUGGGCAUCCCACCUUGCUGAAACGGGUGGUACAAUGAGAUGCUGAAGGUUUGACGGGGUGAACCUGCUACUGUGGACUAUCAUCAUCAGAAUCAUCACAGUGGCAAUGGGAUUCAGGACAUGGACACUCGCUGGAGGACCUCCGCGGGGUCCAUGCGUCCCAGACGAGCCGUUGAGAAGCCCUUGCCUUGCGCUACAAAGCGUCUUCAAUCAAUUGUUUUGAAAAGGCCUUUCCGUUUUCCGACGAUGCCGGCGGUUCUGUUGUUUCUCUCUGUAAAGGACUCUCUUCGGUGACGGGUAUUCUUGGGUGGAUAAUACGGCUCUCGUUGUUAUUGCUUAAGAAUACGCGUAGUCGAGGAGAGUCAUGUCGGCGGCGACUGCAAUGGACUAGAGAGAGCGUUGAAUCCAGAAGGCCCACCUGCCUGCACACACACACAUGCGUUCUCUAACGCCGAGGUUCACGCCCACAUCCAUUUAUUGAGUCAGAGAAUCUGCAUUUCCUGUUUGUGUGUGAUGCUUGUGCUGUUGAUUUAUCCGGCUACUCCUGCAACACAUCUUUGCAGCCAGCGGAAAUGAAAAAACUGGGGGUUUUAUGAUUCGCCGUCCUCACCCCAUAAAGGCUUUAUAUUGUAACAUCUCAGGCAGAGUUGUAGAUGCAAAUGUGUUCGGUUUGUGCCAUAUAUAUAUUCUUUUCUCAGGACAGCACACACUCUCUUUUUAAUGCAAAUUGAUUUCGAAAUGACAUUUAUCGUACAGGGUUUCCAUAUGGAGCUCUGGGAGAGAUGGAAGGGGGAAAAUGGAAUGAAAUGUCCACGAAGCCACUAAGAGCUAAAUUUAUGCGGAUUGUAAAGGAACACACUGCAGAUAAACAGUUACCAUGGCUUUAGAUUGACUG